rnacentral:rRNA from 1 species
UUAUCCGGAAUCAUUGGGCGUAAAGCGUCCGCAGGUGGUUCAUCAAGUCUGCUGUUAAAAACAGAAGCUCAACUUCUGGUCGGCGGUGGAAACUGGUGAACUAGAGUACGGUAGGGGUCGAGGGAAUUCCCAGUGUAGCGGUGAAAUGCGUAGAUAUUGGGAAGAACACCAGUGGCGAAGGCGCUCGACUGGGCCGUAACUGACACUCAGGGACGAAAGCUAGGGUAGCGAAAGGGAUUAGAUACCCCUGUAGUCUUAGCUGUAAACGAUGAACACUAGGCGUUGCUUGUAUCGACCCGAGCAGUGCCGUAGCCAACGCGUUAAGUGUUCCGCCUGGGGAGUACGCAGGCAACUGUGAAACUCAAAGGAAUUGACGGGGGCCCGCACAAGCGGUGGAGUAUGUGGUUUAAUUCGAUGCAACGCGAAGAACCUUACCAGGACUUGACAUCCCAAGAAGGAAGCGUAAUAGCUUCUGUGCCUUAGGGAACUUGGAGACAGGUGGUGCAUGGCUGUCGUCAGCUCGUGUCGUGAGAUGUUGGGUUAAGUCCCGCAACGAGCGCAACCCUCGUUCUUAGUUGCCAGCAUUAAGUUGGGCACUUUAGGAAGACUGCCGGUGACAAACCGGAGGAAGGUGGGGAUGACGUCAAGUCAGCAUGCCCCUUACGUUCUGGGCUACACACGUACUACAAUGGUUGGGACAUUGUACACA